rnacentral:rRNA from 1 species
GACGGAGGGUGCUAGCGUUGUUCGGAAUCACUGGGCGUAAAGGGCGCGUAGGCGGCCAGGCAAGUCGGCUUGUGAAAGCCCGGGGCUCAACCCCGGGAGGUGCGGCCGGGGACUGCUUGGCUGGAGGCCGGAAGAGGAGGGUGGAAUACCCAGUGUAGAGGUGAAAUUCGUAGAUAUUGGGUGGAACACCGGUGGCGAAAGCGGCUCUCUGGUCCGGUACUGACGCUGAGGUGCGAAAGCGUGGGGAGCAAACAGG